UACGUAGGGUGCAAGCGUUAAUCGGAAUUACUGGGCGUAAAGCGUGCGCAGGCGGUUUUGUAAGUCUGUCGUGAAAUCCCCGGGCUUAACCUGGGAAUGGCGAUGGAGACUGCAAGGCUGGAAUCUGGCAGAGGGGGGUAGAAUUCCACGUGUAGCAGUGAGAUGCGUAGAGAUGUGGAGGAACACCGAUGGCGAAGGCAGCCCCCUGGGCUAAGAUUGACGCUCAUGCACGAAAGCGUGGGGAGCAAACAGG
rnacentral:rRNA from 1 species